UACGUAGGGGGCAAGCGUUGUCCGGAAUCAUUGGGCGUAAAGAGCGUGUAGGCGGCUCGAUAAGUCUGCUGUGAAAGUCCAGGGCUCAACCCUGGAAGGCCGGUGGAAACUGUCGGGCUAGAGUCCGGAAGAGGAGAGUGGAAUUCCUGGUGUAGCGGUGAAAUGCGCAGAUAUCAGGAGGAACACCCGUGGCGAAAGCGGCUCUCUGGGACGGUACUGACGCUGAGACGCGAAAGCGUGGGGAGCAAACAGG
rnacentral:rRNA from 1 species